AGCCAAAUCAAAUAUUGUUGCAUGAAUCUUAUCAUCGGCCGUCAAGACAGGAUGAAAGGAGCAGCAACCCCAGGCUCGCAGCGCCAGGGAAGAAGCACGUCAUGGCGACAGUGGAAAGCAGAAGAGAAAACUGCAGUGCUUACAGCCGCAGUGCUGAAGCCAGAAUAGGCCAGCAGGAUUCCCGCAGUGUGAUUCC
rnacentral:lncRNA from 1 species